AGAGUUUGAUCAUGGCUCAGAUUGAACGCUGGCGGCAGGCCUAACACAUGCAAGUCGAACGGUAACAGGAAGCAGCUUGCUGCUUUGCUGACGAGUGGCGGACGGGUGAGUAAUGUCUGGGAAACUGCCUGAUGGAGGGGGAUAACUACUGGAAACGGUAGCUAAUACCGCAUAACGUCGCAAGACCAAAGAGGGGGACCUUAGGGCCUCUUGCCAUCGGAUGUGCCCAGAUGGGAUUAGCUAGUAGGUGGGGUAACGGCUCACCUAGGCGACGAUCCCUAGCUGGUCUGAGAGGAUGACCAGCCACACUGGAACUGAGACACGGUCCAGACUCCUACGGGAGGCAGCAGUGGGGAAUAUUGCACAAUGGGCGCAAGCCUGAUGCAGCCAUGCCGCGUGUAUGAAGAAGGCCUUCGGGUUGUAAAGUACUUUCAGCGGGGAGGAAGGGAGUAAAGUUAAUACCUUUGCUCAUUGACGUUACCCGCAGAAGAAGCACCGGCUAACUCCGUGCCAGCAGCCGCGGUAAUACGGAGGGUGCAAGCGUUAAUCGGAAUUACUGGGCGUAAAGCGCACGCAGGCGGUUUGUUAAGUCAGAUGUGAAAUCCCCGGGCUCAACCUGGGAACUGCAUCUGAUACUGGCAAGCUUGAGUCUCGUAGAGGGGGGUAGAAUUCCAGGUGUAGCGGUGAAAUGCGUAGAGAUCUGGAGGAAUACCGGUGGCGAAGGCGGCCCCCUGGACGAAGACUGACGCUCAGGUGCGAAAGCGUGGGGAGCAAACAGGAUUAGAUACCCUGGUAGUCCACGCCGUAAACGAUGUCGACUUGGAGGUUGUGCCCUUGAGGCGUGGCUUCCGGAGCUAACGCGUUAAGUCGACCGCCUGGGGAGUACGGCCGCAAGGUUAAAACUCAAAUGAAUUGACGGGGCCCGCACAAGCGGUGGAGCAUGUGGUUUAAUUCGAUGCAACGCGAAGAACCUUACCUGGUCUUGACAUCCACGGAAGUUUUCAGAGAUGAGAAUGUGCCUUCGGGAACCGUGAGACAGGUGCUGCAUGGCUGUCGUCAGCUCGUGUUGUGAAAUGUUGGGUUAAGUCCCGCAACGAGCGCAACCCUUAUCCUUUGUUGCCAGCGGUCCGGCCGGGAACUCAAAGGAGACUGCCAGUGAUAAACUGGAGGAAGGUGGGGAUGACGUCAAGUCAUCAUGGCCCUUACGACCAGGGCUACACACGUGCUACAAUGGCGCAUACAAAGAGAAGCGACCUCGCGAGAGCAAGCGGACCUCAUAAAGUGCGUCGUAGUCCGGAUUGGGAGUCUGCAACUCGACUCCAUGAAGUCGGAAUCGCUAGUAAUCGUGGAUCAGAAUGCCACGGUGAAUACGUUCCCGGGCCUUGUACACACCGCCCGUCACACCAUGGGAGUGGGUUGCAAAAGAAGUAGGUAGCUUAACCUUCGGGAGGGCGCUUACCACUUUGUGAUUCAUGACUGGGGUGAAGUCGUAACAAGGUAACCGUAGGGGAACCUGCGGUUGGAUCACCU
rnacentral:rRNA from 1 species